rnacentral:rRNA from 1 species
UGCGUAGGCGGCUUAUUAAGUCAGUGGUGAAAUCUCUCGGCUCAACCGAGAAACUGCCAUUGAAACUGAUAAGCUUGAGUGUAGUUGUAGUAGGCGGAAUAUAGCAUGUAGCGGUGAAAUGCUUAGAUAUGCUAUAGAACACCGAUCGCGAAGGCAGCUUACUAAACUAUCACUGACGCUCAUGCACGAAAGCGUGGGGAGCAAACAGGAUUAGAUACCCUGGUAGUCC